AGAUGCUCCCAGGCUCUCCCGCAGUUUAAAGACUUAACUCAGCGGCUUUCAGGGCCUGUGGUUGAGGGACUCCGAAAGAACUGUUGCUGGUGGACCGGUUCAGGGUCUUGACUUCGCCACACAAAAGAACUUGAGAGCACGUCCAAAGUAAAGCUAAGACCUCUAGUACAGUGUUCAAUGGAACUGGUGAGAAAAGACGUCCUUGCUGUGUUCCUGAUAUGAAGAGGAAAGCAGUCCUUCUCCAUUAAGUAAAAUGCUGACAACAUGAGCCUCCCGUGGUCGGAACGGGCUUGUGAAGGCGGUGCUGGGGUGCACCAGGGCAGCAGCUACAGCAUUUACUGUCUGGGUCAAAGAGGAUGUGUCCUAAAAGGAGAAUGAGAAAUAAAACCCAGAAGGAGAAAGAAAACGUGGAGAAUAUUGCUGAUUGCAGCCAAGGGAAGAGAAUGUUUCCAGAAGGAGGUUACCACUGCGAGGUCAAGUAAGGGACUGGAGAAUGCUUCUGUAUCUUGGCAGGAGUAACGCGAAUAAAAAGCAAUGGGACAGACACUUUGGAAGACAGUUUGGCAGUUUCUUACAAAAGAAGAAAUUGGCCCAAUGUGACAGUCAUGUCCUACUACUUGGCACUUGUAUUCCUUGGUAUUUGCACAAUUGAUUUGAAAGCUUAUAUCCACACAGAAACGUGCACACAAAUGAUUAUAACAACUUUAUUAAUAAUUGCCAAAAACAGAAAGAAAGCAAGUUGUUCUUCAGUAGGUGAAUGAACAAAAAAUUGUACUACAUUCGUACAAUGGAGUCUUAUUCAUCCUUAAGAUGAAAUGAGCUAUCAAGCUAUAAAAAACAUUGGGGGGGGGGAUCAUAGAUGCAUAUUGCUAGGUGAAAUAAGUCAGUCUAAAAAGCCUACAUACUAUAUGAUUCCAACCAUAUGACAUUCUAAAAUAGGAAGAACAAUGGAGAUAGUAAAAAGGAUAGUAGAUGCUGGGGGCCAGGGGGCAGUAUGAAGAGAGAAGAUGAGUAAGUGGAACGUAGGGGAUUUUUAGGGAAGUAAAAUUAUUUUGUAUAAUACUGUGAUGGUGAAUACCUGAUAUUAUGCAUCUGACAUCAUGCAGUGGGCAUAUAGAAGCCCAUCAACAAUACAAUACAAAUGGUAAACCUUAGUGUAAACUAUAGACUUUAGGCAACACUAAUAAUGUAUAAAUAUUGGUUCACCAAUUGUAACAAAACUACCACAGUGAUGCAAUAAGUUUAUAUUUGUGGAAACUAUGUGAGAAGAGGGAGGAGGAGUAUAUGGGAACUCUCUGUACUUUUAUGUUCUAUUUUCAUAUAAACUGAAAACUGCUCUAAAAAAUAAAUCCUACUAAGUAAAAACAUAAAAAGGAAACAUGGAGCAAUGAGAAAUCCAUAGAGGUUUUGAAAAGCUCUGAAAGUAUUCCUGGAAAAAUAGAGGACCAUGCACAUACAUAGAGCAUGAACAUGUUCAGGAAAGACCUAAAAAGACCCUAAGGUCUCACUUCUGGCUGAUCUUGAGAAUAUGUGUGACAGCAAGUGAAGGCUAAGGCAGAGUUGUUAAUUACCUGGCUGAGUGUUGAAGGCAUACCCCUACAAGUAAACAGUGGCUCUCAGCAACACUUAGAGAUAUAUUGACUCCAUCUAUUUAAAUAUGUCUAUGUCCAGUAGUUAGCUAACCACUAAAGACUUCGGUGAUCAAACACAACAAUGAAUACAGACUGUUCAGAAUUAGUUCAGAAAAGUCACUAAACUAAACAAACAAAAAAAACAAACCCAGCAACUACAAUAAGCAGCAAUUGCAGACCCUGGGGACAGAAGAGGGCAAAGAGAGAAUCUGAUAUCUACUAUUGCUACAUUAUAUUAUUUAAACAUCAAGUUUUAAAAAAAUAAGAGAAAAAAGAA
ensembl:lncRNA MIR646HG MIR646 host gene